rnacentral:rRNA from 1 species
AUUGAACGCUGGCGGCAUGCCUUACACAUGCAAGUCGAACGGUAACGCGGGGCAACCUGGCGACGAGUGGCGAACGGGUGAGUAAUACAUCGGAACGUGCCCAGUAGUGGGGGAUAGCCCGGCGAAAGCCGGAUUAAUACCGCAUACGACCUACGGGUGAAAGCGGGGGAUCGCAAGACCUCGCGCUAUUGGAGCGGCCGAUGUCAGAUUAGGUAGUUGGUGGGGUAAAGGCCUACCAAGCCUACGAUCUGUAGCUGGUCUGAGAGGGCGACCAGCCACACUGGGACUGAGACACGGCCCAGACUCCUACGGGAGGCAGCAGUGGGGAAUUUUGGACAAUGGGCGCAAGCCUGAUCCAGCCAUGCCGCGUGCGGGAAGAAGGCCUUCGGGUUGUAAACCGCUUUUGUCAGGGAAGAAACGCUCUGGGUUAAUACCUCGGGGUAAUGACGGUACCUGAAGAAUAAGCACCGGCUAACUACGUGCCAGCCGCCGCGGUAACAC